rnacentral:rRNA from 1 species
GACAGAGGCCCCAAGCGUUAGGCGGAAUCACUGGCUUAAAGCGUGUGUAGGCGGAUCGUUAAGUGUCUUGUGAAAUCCCACGGCUCAACCGCGGAACGGCUGGGUAUACUGGCGGUCUUGGGCCAUUCAGGGGCGACUGGAACAAGCGGUGGAGCGGUGAAAUGCGUAGAUAUCGCUUGGAACGCCGAAGGUGAAAACAGGUCGCUGGGGAUGUGCCGACGCUGAGACACGAAAGCCAGGGGAGCAAACGGGG